rnacentral:misc_RNA from 1 species
GUGAAUCAUCGAAUCUUUGAACGCAAAUUGCACUCUCUUCGGAGAGUAUGCCUGUUUGAGGGUCAGCCUAUAAAAAAUUGACAUUGUUGCUGUUUCGCGGUGGCGUUCGUCGGGAAUUGGGUCAUCUUAAAUCCUUUUGGGUUUUAAGCGACUAAAAAUUUUCUUUUUGUUUCCUUGAACUUUUCUAAGAAUUAUUUCUUUACAUGUUAAAGGUAUUGAUUUGUAUUAGAGGUG